UCCUGGCUCAGGAUUAACGCUGGCGAGCGUGCCUAUACAUGCAAGUCGAACGGGAACCUCUUAAAAGGAGGUUUUUAGUGGCGAACGGGUGAGUAACACGUAAGUAACCUGCCUUUAAGACGAGAUAACAACCGGAAGGUUACUAAGACUGGAUAGGAAACAAAAAGGCAUCUUUUUGUUUUUAAAAGACCUUCUUACGAAGGUAUGCUUAAAGAGGGACUUGCGCCACAUUAGUUAGUUGGUAGGGUAAAGGCCUACCAAGACGAUGAUGUGUAGCUGGACUGAGAGGUUGAACAGCCACAUUGGGACUGAGACACGGCCCAAACUCCUACGGGAGGCAGCAGUAGGGAAUUUUCGGCAAUGGAGGAAACUCUGACCGAGCAACGCCGCGUGAACGAUGAAAUAUUUCGGUAUGUAAAGUUCUUUUAUUGAAGAAGAAAAAGUAGUGGAAAAACUAUAUUGACGUUAUUCAAUGAAUAAGCCCCGGCUAACUAUGUGCCAGCAGCCGCGGUAAGACAUAGGGGGCGAGCGUUAUCCGGAAUUAUUGGGCGUAAAGGGUGCGUAGGCUGUUAGAUAAGUCUAUAAUUUAAUUUCAGUGCUUAACGCUGUCUUGUUAUAGAAACUGUCUUGACUAGAGUGAGAUAGAGGCAAGCGGAAUUCCAUGUGUAGCGGUAAAAUGUGUAAAUAUAUGGAGGAACACCAGAAGCGUAGGCGGCUUGCUGGGUCUUUACUGACGCUGAGGCACGAAAGCGUGGGUAGCAAACAGGAUUAGAUACCCUGGUAGUCCACGCCGUAAACGAUGAGUACUAAGUGUCGGGGUAAAACUCGGUACUGAAUUAACACAUUAAGUACUCCGCCUGAGUAGUACGUACGCAAGUAUGAAACUUAAAGGAAUUGACGGCACUCCGCACAAGCGGUGGAUCAUGUUGUUUAAUUCGAAGAUACCCGAAAAAUCUUCCCAGGUCUUGACAUACUCUGCAAAGCUAUAGAAAUAUAGUUGAGGUUUCAGGGAUACGCUGGUGCAUGGUGGUCGUCAGCUCGGGUCAUGAGCAGUUAGGUUAAUUCAUAAAACGAUCGCAACCCUUGUCGUUAAUUGCCAGCACAUAAUGGUGGGGACUUUAACGAGACUGCCAAUUAAACAUUGGAGGAAGGUGAGGAUUACGUCAAAUCAUCAUGCCCCUUAUGAUCUGGGCUACAAACGUGAUACAAUGGCUGUGACAAAGAGUAGCUGAAACGCGAGUUUUUAGCCAAUCUCAAAAA
rnacentral:rRNA from 2 species